rnacentral:rRNA from 1 species
GAUGAACGCUGGCGGCGUGCUUAACACAUGCAAGUCGAACGGAAAGGCCCAAGCUUGCUUGGGUACUCGAGUGGCGAACGGGUGAGUAACACGUGGGUGAUCUGCCCUGCACUUCGGGAUAAGCCUGGGAAACUGGGUCUAAUACCGGAUAGGACGAUGGUUUGGAUGCCAUUGUGGAAAGUUUUUUCGGUGUGGGAUGAGCUCGCGGCCUAUCAGCUUGUUGGUGGGGUAAUUGCCUACCAAGGCGUCGACGGGUAGCCGGCCUGAGAGGGUGUACGGCCACAUUGGGACUGAGAUACGGCCCAGACUCCUACGGGAGGCAGCAGUGGGGAAUAUUGCACAAUGGGCGCAAGCCUGAUGCAGCGACGCCGCGUGGGGGAUGACGGCCUUCGGGUUGUAAACUCCUUUCGCUAGGGACGAAGCGUUUUUGUGACGGUACCUGGAGAAGAAGCACCGGCUAACUACGU